rnacentral:rRNA from 1 species
CCUACGGGAGGCAGCAGUGGGGAAUUUUGGACAAUGGACGCAAGUCUGAUCCAGCCAUGCCGCGUGCGGGAAGAAGGCCUUCGGGUUGUAAACCGCUUUUGUCAGGGAAGAAACGGGCGUCUCUAAUACAGAUGCCUAAUGACGGUACCUGAAGAAUAAGCACCGGCUAACUACGUGCCAGCAGCCGCGGUAAUACGUAGGGUGCAAGCGUUAAUCGGAAUUACUGGGCGUAAAGCGUGCGCAGGCGGUUAUGCAAGACAGAUGUGAAAUCCCCGGGCUCAACCUGGGAACUGCAUUUGUGACUGCAUGGCUAGAGUACGGUAGAGGGGGGAUGGAAUUCCGCGUGUAGCAGUGAAAUGCGUAGAUAUGCGGAGGAACACCGAUGGCGAAGGCAAUCCCCUGGACCUGUACUGACGCUCAUGCACGAAAGCGUGGGGAGCAAACAGGAUUAGAUACCCUGGUAGUCCACGCCCUAAACGAUGUCAACUGGUUGUUGGGAGGGUUUCUUCUCAGUAACGUAGCUAACGCGUGAAGUUGACCGCCUGGGGGNGGUACGGCCGCGAGGUAGAACGUACGAAAGAAAGUUAGACGGCGUGAGACGUAGACCGAACGGACGACGACGAGGGGAGGAGGG